rnacentral:rRNA from 1 species
AAACUUUCAACAACGGAUCUCUUGGUUCCGGCAUCGAUGAAGAACGCAGCAAAAUGCGAUAGGUAAUGUGAAUUGCAGAACUCAGUGAAUCAUCGAAUCUUUGAACGCACAUUGCGCCCGCCAGUAUUCUGGCAGGCAUGCCUGUCCGAGCGUCAUUU